rnacentral:lncRNA from 1 species
AAGUCAUCAAACAUGAUCUUAUUUUAAUUCUAAUGAUAUUUUCUUAGUGUGUUUUCCUUUUUUUUUGUUUUUGGCUUAGAGAGCUUUAUGAGAUAUUUUGGAUCUCUGGUCAUAAGCCUUGAGCAUCCAAAAUCAAAGUAUCAUCUCUUGCUCCUAGCUUGUGAUGGUGCAUUUUUCUACAAAAAGAGAUGAUUUUUAGGUACCCAUUUGACCUUGGGUGCCUCAAAAAUCGAUUUGCAUAGCUUAUCAUGUUGCAUUGAGUCAUUUGAGAUUCUUUUAGGAACCCAAAUCAAUUUAUGUGGACUAUAUUUCUUGAAUGGACAUUUGUACGCAACAUGUCCAAAUUUGCAACAAAAGUUACAUUUGGUGUGAGGUGAUACAUGCAAGGUAGGGGGCCUUUAAUAAAGGUGGUUGGAU